rnacentral:rRNA from 1 species
GAUAAGGUUAAGUGAAUAAGGGCGCACGGUGGAUGCCUUGGCACUAGGAGCCGAUGAAGGACGGGACUAACACCGAUAUGCUUUGGGGAGCUGUAAGUAAGCUAUGAUCCAGAGAUUUCCGAAUGGGGGAACCCAAUAUCUUUUAUAGGAUAUUACUUUUCAGUGAAUACAUAGCUGAUUAGAGGUAGACGCAGAGAACUGAAACAUCUUAGUACCUGCAGGAAGAGAAAGAAAAUUCGAUUCCCUGAGUAGCGGCGAGCGAAACGGGAAGAGCCCAAACCAACAAGCUUGCUUGUUGGGGUUGUAGGACUCCAAUAUGGUAGUCUGUUAGUAUAGUUGAAGGAUUUGGAAAAUUCCGCUAAAGAGGGUGAAAGCCCCGUAGACGAAAUGCUGACAACACCUAGGAGGAUCCUGAGUACGGCGGAACACGAGAAAUUCCGUCGGAAUCCGCGGGGACCAUCCCGCAAGGCUAAAUACUCCCUAGUGACCGAUAGUGAACCAGUACCGUGAGGGAAAGGUGA